CGGUUUCGAUGAAGUUUUCGGAUGGAUUUGAAAUUGACUUAGCGGCGGACGGGUGAGUAACGCGUGGGUAACCUGCCUUACACUGGGGGAUAACAGUUAGAAAUGACUGCUAAUACCGCAUAAGCGCACAGGGCCGCAUGGUCCGGUGUGAAAAACUCCGGUGGUGUAAGAUGGACCCGCGUCUGAUUAGGUAGUUGGUGGGGUAACGGCCCACCAAGCCGACGAUCAGUAGCCGACCUGAGAGGGUGACCGGCCACAUUGGGACUGAGACACGGCCCAAACUCCUACGGGAGGCAGCAGUGGGGAAUAUUGGACAAUGGGCGAAAGCCUGAUCCAGCGACGCCGCGUGAGUGAAGAAGUAUUUCGGUAUGUAAAGCUCUAUCAGCAGGGAAGAAAAUGACGGUACCUGACUAAGAAGCCCCGGCUAACUACGUGCCAGCAGCCGCGGUAAUACGUAGGGGGCAAGCGUUAUCCGGAUUUACUGGGUGUAAAGGGAGCGUAGACGGUUUAGCAAGUCUGAAGUGAAAGCCCGGGGCUCAACCCCGGUACUGCUUUGGAAACUGUUAGACUUGAGUGCAGGAGAGGUAAGUGGAAUUCCUAGUGUAGCGGUGAAAUGCGUAGAUAUUAGGAGGAACACCAGUGGCGAAGGCGGCUUACUGGACUGUAACUGACGUUGAGG
rnacentral:rRNA from 1 species